GGACAUCCCUAGUGAUAGACCCAGCUUCUCUGAGAUUAAAGUUGAGCUUGAACUACUCUUACAUGAAAUUGAGAAUACUAUAGAGGCAUCAAAAGGGAGCUGAAUGAUGCGCGCUUGCAUAUAUUGGACUAACGACACUUCUUACCAGUAACAAUAGAAGAUUUUCUUUUACUUACGCCUUAUCUACCCGAACCUUGACUUUUUUGGUGAGAUAUCUAUGCCACAAGCAUAAGGUAGAGUCCACUGCUUUUGGCCAUUUUGGAGUUUAUAGUAAAGGUGAUUCAUUUUGUGAUAACUAAGUACGACUUGUAAAAUCUUUCUACCU
rnacentral:misc_RNA from 1 species